UACGUAGGGGGCUAGCGUUGUCCGGAUUUAUUGGGCGUAAAGAGCGUGUAGGCGGCCUGCCAGGUCUGCUGUGAAAACUCGAGGCUCAACCUCGAGAUGUCGGCGGAAACCGUCUGGCUAGAGUCCGGAAGAGGAGAGUGGAAUUCCUGGUGUAGCGGUGAAAUGCGCAGAUAUCAGGAAGAACACCUAUGGCGAAGGCAGCUCUCUGGGACGGUACUGACGCUGAGACGCGAAAGCGUGGGGAGCGAACAGG
rnacentral:rRNA from 1 species